rnacentral:rRNA from 1 species
CCUACGGGUGGCAGCAGUGAGGAAUAUUGGUCAAUGGCCGGAAGGCUGAACCAGCCAAGUCGCGUGAGGGACGAAUGUCCCAUGGGUUGUAAACUUCUUUUAUCAGGGGACAAAAACAGGCUCGAGAGCCUGAACGAGGGUACUUGACGAAUAAGCAUCGGCUAACUCCGUGCCAGCAGCCGCGGUAAUACGGAGGGUGCGAGCGUUAUCCGGAUUUAUUGGGUUUACAGGGGGCGUAGACGGAAUGGAAAGUCAGCGGUAAAAGCCCGGGGCUCAACCCCGGACAGCUGUUGAAACUGGGUGUCUUGAGAUGUCGAGAGGUAGGCGGAAUGCGCAGUGUAGCGGUGAAAUGCGUAGAUAUUGGGAAGAACUCCGAUGGCGAAGGCAGCAUACUGGCGGCGAACUGACGCUGAGGCACGAAAGCGUGGGGAGCGAACAGGAUUAGAUACCCAUGUAGUC